UAUAUAUAUAUAUAUAUAUAGUUUCAUCAGCAAAACACAGAAAAGCCCAGGUAUUUGUGGGUGCACAUGCACAACCACACAAAAGGAAAGGAGUACCAACGAAAAACAAAAUGGUCAACAAAUCAUCCUACAUUGAGAACAAGCAUUCUUUUUUUUAUCAAUUUUAGCAUAUAAAUGACACGCAUGCCACCCAUCCAUCAUCACAAUCACAGCAUUUUAGUCUAUAGGAACUCAAGAAUAAAAGUUAGAUUUGCCAUUUAAACAGACUUAAGAAGUAAGAAUUAAAAAAGUGCAGAAGACCUUCUUAAGUGCAUAGCAUUCAUAAAAUACACAGGUUGAUUCACUGUUACCAAUAAAACCUAAAGUAGGAUGUACAAUAUAACAACUCUGAGCUUUGUUCAGAAAUAGAAGUUUAAAGACAAUUAUAACUACUAAUCACAGAAAUUCCAAUUUCGAAUACAGUGUCUCAAGUUGAUGCCACUGAUAACAUAUUUUUUUCUUAUUGAAUCUCUCAAAUUUUACCUAUUAAUAACAACAAGCAAAAUAUUGAUUUCAGACAAAUAUGUAUGCAUAUGUAUCUGUGUGUUAGAGAGAUCAUGAGAGAGAGAACUUUCCAUUCUGGCAAAAUAUAUAUAAGAACAUGUAAUUAACUGCCAACUGGUUCCUCAAACAACAGCUGCACAUGUUAAUUUUUUCAUGUUUAUUAUAUUGAAAUUUAACAUGAGCAAGCACAAUGAGACAACUUUAAAUCCCUUGUAAGACAGGCUAUUUAUCAGGGAAGAAGAUAAUCUAAACAUUAAUAUCGUGGAAAUAGUGCUUUGGUAGAUAAGCAGAGUUCAGAUAUUCAGCAUGUUAUCUUGAUCAUAUACUCGUAUUACGUAGAUGUGACACACAAAAGCUAAGCCCUAGAACUUCAGCAACUGCACCUAGAACUGCACUUCACUUGGCAAAGCUGCAAUGCCCUAUUCAGAAAGAGCCAGAGCAUGUUUUAUGACCUCGGUCUCAAUCACAUAUUCACGUACACGUUUGAACAGUUGAACUGAAAAUAGUAAACUAGGAAUACCAAGCAUCUGUGAAUCAAUCAAGAUGGAUUUCAAUUAUAAAUUUUGGUCAUCUGAUAGUGGCGUGCUUUUUAUCCCUAUGGUGAAUGAAAUAGAGACAAGGAAUGAGAAUAAGAGAUCUGAUAAAUAUCUAAGAAAUUAAACAUAAACUCAGUUAAAGCCCAAAGAUGAUUCAAACAAAGCUCCUUGCAAAUCAGAAACACCAAUUCAUCAGUUAAUUUAUCAAUCAACUAAUCCAGCCAAAUCA
rnacentral:misc_RNA from 1 species